UGUGUAUGUUGUAAUUGAUUUUAGCGAUAUUUCACCGAUCCAUGUCUUGUUUUUUAUAUUUCACUGAUGCGUUUGUAACAUUCGUGAAAGGGAACACAUGCCGUUUAGGUAGAUCACACAGAAUACACAUUCCGUUUAGGAUUUUUUUUUUUACUAAAACGGUUUGUGAAAGCCGUUUCCUAGGUAGAUGAAACGGAAUACACAUUCCGUUUAGGGUUUUAUUUAUUUUUGUUUUCUGAAACGGUUUGUGAAAUCCAUUUCGUAGGAAUUUUUUUUUGUGAAACGGUUUAUGAAAUCCAUUUCCUACAUAGAUGAAACGGAUUUCACAUUCAGUUUAGUGUUUUUUUUUUUUUUCUGAAACUUUGUGAAAUCCGUUUUCUACAUAGUAUAUUGCUUGUGCUUUUGCAAAGGUAAAAAGAACAUUACAAAGGGAGUUUAGGUUUAGGUUCUACUUCUAUUCUUUAGUGUUGGAGAAGAGUAAUGAAUUAUUUAUAUUCUUGGAAUGUUCUCUACGGAUGCCUCAUAUUGCCACAACUUAUGCCGCAGUUAAUACACUUAUUACUUUGGGUGGUUAGAAAUCCCUCGCAUCAAUUAAAUAGGUGGUCAGUUUAUGUGCUCAACGCAAGUUUUUUUAUCAUAUUAUGUUCCAUUAUUUAUUUGAUGGAGCUAGUUUUUAUUUGUGUGGAACUGAUUGGUUUGGUACUUUGAACAUAUUAUUCUCAAAGAUAAAUUGCAUGGGUUUCUGCGAAGGAUGAAGCAGCCAAAUGGGGGGUUCAGGAUGCAUGAUGAUGGAGAAAUUGAUGUUCGAGCUUGCUACACUGCAAUCUCUCUAUUGGCUUGAGCUUAAGGAAUUAGGCAAGAAUAUGGGAAAUGGAUAUUCAUCAAAAGUUUAGUUGAAUUGAUUAGAUAAGUGUCGUGAAGUAUUUUUGGUACUCUAACUAGGAAAAUGGGGAAGCAAGUUAUAUUGUGUAAACUUUGUAUAUAAAUGUGAGUAUUAGUGAAAUAACAGAAUUCAGAAAAUAUUAUUUUCCACAUGGUAUGCAAGCUGCAUUAACCCAAUGGAAUUCACAUACACCAUCACCAAAGCUUCCUUACCAGUUAUUUACAACUCAUGAACGAAGGGUUAUUGCUCAACAAAUCGUGUCGAAUAAUACCCCUUUUGCAUUUGGAAUAAUCUUGGAUGAUACCAUUUUUUUUUUAUAAAUCUGACUUCCUCACUGGUGUUACAUCAAAACCUUUUGAGUGAGGAUCCUCCUCUUGAAUUUUAAUCAUGUUUUGGCAUAUGUUCGCGAGGAUCACAACAAUGACACACUAAGCACCUCAAGCUAUCUGACACUGCAUUUUUGUCCUCCUGGACCUACUCAAUCUUCAAAAGAAAAAAAUUCAUCCAACAAAACUGACACCUUCUUCACAUGUACUUAUUGUGGUGACAGUGAUACUGAAAGCAAUGUUGGUACAAUAUUAUUGGCUACACUGAAUGGUGACAUUUAUCAACAACACUACAAAGAAGAUCAACCAUGUUGUUGUAAUCACGAAAAACAAGAAUCCUCCUCUUCCAAUGUCAAAUCUUGCGCAUGCAACAAUGGUAAGUCCUAUGCACAUCUUUCUGUGAACAGAACUUGGAUUACUCAUCAGUGCUAUUGAUCACAUGACAAAUGGGUGAAAUCAACUGUAAGUUGAGUUCCGUGUUAUAUGAAUUUACAAGAACAAUAUAUAUCAAGAAAAUAUUUACAAAUCUUUUAGCCAUAAGAUUUUAAGCAGAAGAUAUCAAAGAUUAAUUAUUGGAAGACUUAUUUACUUGUCUCACACAGUUCCUUAAAACGAUAGAAGACAAUCAUAUCAUAUCAAUUACAAGUAGCCCAGUACAACAUGAAUGUAGUGAGCAUGGGAGGUGGAUCACCACUCCAUCAAAUAUCACGCAGGCAAAGAUCGUUUUCCAUUUGUUGUUUCACAAGAUCAAUUGUUCUUAAAAAGAUUGUGUUUCGGAAAGUUUCCCAUUCCUCACUUCACGAGUUGGGUAUGACCGAUAUAUACUUCCCACACAAAGUGGAGUGGUGGCGUAAAACAAGAAUCUUGGUGAAAAUAUAUAUAUAUAUAGCUAGUUAUUCAUUUUAUUUGAUUGAGAUCAUUACGGAGUAACUUGGUACUUUAAUUGGUGAAAUCGGGAAACAAACUAUUCUAGAAAUUAAAUAACACGUUCAGAAAAGUUAUUCAGAAAAAAUCUCAACCGCUUUAAAUUAAUUCCAUUCACAUGGGGUGUGGGAGACUUCCCAUAAACUUCCGUCUAGAUUAUGCUGCGAUUCUUUCCACACUUACUCGUCGCCCUUUUUUCUAAUUUCCUACAAUACAGACACUGCCUAGUGCCUUGGCCUUUUCGCAUGAGUUUGGCCGAAAUACAAAGAACAAACAAAUGCAACCAGCAACUUAUUACACAUAAAAAUAAGUUGGCGUGCGCACCUACUUGUGGGUUCGGUUUUCAAACUCUCAGAAAAAGAGGAUCAACGUGUAUUAAAUAUUGAUUUGAUAAGGAUUAGUUUAAGGGCAGAUAGAAAGAGAAUAGUCCAAUAUGACAAAAAGAGCAUAAUGCAUCCAUCCCUGCGGCUCGAUAAAUUCACACCAUUCCAAAGAUGUUAGGUCAAUCAUGUUCACCCAAACAUCUCAUGUCCAGCCUGUACUCUUUAUACCAUUUAUGUUCUUAUUCGCAGCUCUCAACGGUUGAAUUCCAAGGUGCAGACAGAAAUUCAAUUCAACACAACGUUU